rnacentral:rRNA from 1 species
AGAGUUUGAUUAUGGCUCAGAUUGAACGCUGGCGGCAGGCCUAACACAUGCAAGUCGAACGGUAACAGGAAGCAGCUUGCUGCUUCGCUGACGAGUGGCGGACGGGUGAGUAAUGUCUGGGAAACUGCCUGAUGGAGGGGGAUAACUACUGGAAACGGUAGCUAAUACCGCAUAACGUCGCAAGACCAAAGAGGGGGACCUUAGGGCCUCUUGCCAUCGGAUGUGCCCAGAUGGGAUUAGCUAGUAGGUGGGGUAACGGCUCACCUAGGCGACGAUCCCUAGCUGGUCUGAGAGGAUGACCAGCCACACUGGAACUGAGACACGGUCCAGACUCCUACGGGAGGCAGCAGUGGGGAAUAUUGCACAAUGGGCGCAAGCCUGAUGCAGCCAUGCCGCGUGUAUGAAGAAGGCCUUCGGGUUGUACAGUACUUUCAGCGGGGAGGAAGGGAGUAAAGUUAAUACCUUUGCUCAUUGACGUUACCCGCAGAAGAAGCACCGGCUAACUCCGUGCCAGCAGCCGCGGUAAU